GUCCGGUCUGAGUGCAAUGGUGUUUACAACUAAAUGAUCACAACCCCACUUACAGAUUUCUUUGUUCCUUCUUUACUCCCACUGCUUCACUUGACCAGCCUUAA
rnacentral:Y_RNA from 1 species